ensembl:piRNA 21ur-6678 ncRNA
UCAGAUCAACGAAACAAUAAU